UUUCAGUUUUGAAAAGAAAAGAAAAUGAAUGCUCUUCCUAUCACCAUCUCUACCGUUUCUACCGUUUUGUUCCUGCACUCACCGAUUGCACGUGGUGAUGGAUUCCGUGGAGACAUUUUAAUCUUAUCAGGCAUCUCUGCAGUCACAGCUGACCAGUACAGACAGAAGCUUUCCUGACCACAACUGACAGCAGCUCUAUUAGAUCGCCAUAAACAUAGUUAUUUAGAAGACAAUUUGCUGUUUUACUAAAUAGACAUGAUGUGCACCUGUCAAAUUGCCAUUUCCUUUUCUUUUUCUUUUUCUUUUUUUUUUUCAUAUGUCCAUGCAGUAAUGAGGGGCUUCAUUUCUCCACUGAAUUGCUUUUUUAGUUUACUUGAAAAGGAGAUAUCCACAUGUGUGUUUGGCGAUCGGCUCAGCACUAUGCUUUCUUGGUCAGUGGGUCUGCUUUGCCAGGGUUACCCGUUCGCUUGAUGACUUUGAUCUUCUGAUUCUUACAAUCAGGUCUAGUUACUCUUCUGAAAAGCCAUUUGGUAAAUUAUAAAUCUUUGCAUUUCUGCAUGACAUUUAGAAUCUAGUCAUUAAUUUUCUGAUUGACUUGUUAGCCAUUCUAUUUUGAUCAAAGAACAUAUUGGUAUGAAACGCAUUAUUUUAAUUUUUGAGACUUAUUUUGUUGUCCAGAAUAUUGUCUUGAUAAAUCUGUCCUGUUCAUUGGAAAAUACAUACAUUAUUCUGAAUUAAAUGCUCUGUAAAAUUCAAUUCAACAACUUUGUCUGCAAGCUUGUUCAAAUCUGCAUCUGUACUGAUUUUUUUUUUUUAAUGUGCUCAUUCUAUAAAUUAACAAAUGGGCAAUUAAAUCCCUUCUGGAACCUGUGGGUUGUACUUUUCCAUUUUUGUAGAAGUGGCAAAUUUUAGUUCAUCCUUUUCAUAGCUCAGAUAUUAGACAGAGGUUCAGGAAUAUUGUAUUAUCUUGAUGAAUUGAUCCCUCUGUCAUUAUAAUAGAAUCUUUGCCUAUAGCAAUCUUCUUCACACUGAUAUCUUUAUU